UACGUAGGGGGCAAGCGUUGUCCGGAUUUAUUGGGCGUAAAGAGCGUGUAGGCGGCCAGGUAGGUCCGCUGUGAAACUCGAGGCUCAACCUCGAGAUGUCGGCGGAAACCAUCUGGCUAGAGUCCGGAAGAGGAAAGUGGAAUUCCCGGUGUAGCGGUGAAAUGCGCAGAUAUCAGGAGGAACACCAAUUGCGAAGGCAG
rnacentral:rRNA from 1 species